CACCCAGAAGAUUCUAGUAAAGGCUGAAGGGAUAGAGAAAUCAUAUUCACAAGCCGUCUUGUUAGACUUGACUGAUAGCAAGCAGCAAACUACUCUGAAAACCUUGAGCUUCUCGUUUCCUCCUGACACAGUCAGUGGCAGUGAGAGAGCUCAGGUCACCACCGUGGGAGAUAUUCUUGGCCCU